rnacentral:rRNA from 1 species
CCUACGGGUGGCAGCAGUGGGGAAUAUUGCACAAUGGGCGCAAGCCUGAUGCAGCGACGCCGCGUGAGCGAUGAAGGCCUUCGGGUCGUAAAGCUCUGUCCUAAGGGAAGAAUAAUGACGGUACCUUAGGAGGAAGCCACGGCUAACUACGUGCCAGCAGCCGCGGUGAUACGUAGGGGGCGAGCGUUCUCCGGAAUCACUGGGCGUAAAGGGUGCGUAGGCGGUCGUGCAAGUCCGGAGUUAAAUCCCUCGGCCAAACCGAGGUCAGCACUUGAAACUGUUGGGCUUGAGUGGAGGAGAGGAGAGGGGAAUUCCUAGUGUAGCGGUGAAAUGCGUAGAUAUUAGGAGGAAGACCAGAGGAGAAGGCGGCUCUCUGGACUGCAACUGACGCUGGGGCACGAAAGCGUGGGGAGCGAACAGGAUUAGAUACCCUUGUAGUC